rnacentral:lncRNA from 10 species
CUUUUACGUCGGCCUUCGCGAGCGUCUGGGCGGGUGGUAGGUGAGUGGGUAUUGCGGGCUAGUAUCCGAGCAAAAGAUGGUGGCGCAGGCCGAGUUAAGAGCUUUAAUCCUGUGAAGACAUCUUAGUGAAGAGUUUAGAGUGCUGAGAGUUGAAAGCUUGCACGUGGGAAACGUGCGGCCGGACUGCCACAUGUACUGAGGUUGAGUCGUGACGGCCACAGGCUCCGAGUUUUGGCGUGAGGAACCGCUGAUCGGCCACGGGCGCCGAACUUGCUGGCCUCCGGCAUGUGCCUGAGCGGCGGCGGAAAAACCACCUUAAUUGGGGCGGAGGGUUAGUUUUAACAGCAAAGGGCCUUUACUAAAAUGGCGAAGGCCUUCCGUCGGCGUUGUUUUAAAAUGGGAAGCCUCGACCCUGUAUUGAAACUGAGCUGUUCGAAGGCGGCGUUGUGUGCAAUUCGGAUUAAUGAAGGGGAAGGGUUUUGUGUGGAAAAACGCCUUGGAGUGUGACAUUUCUGCGAGAAUGCUUAAAUACCGAUUUCCCGCAGGAACAAUGGCGCUGUCUUCAGUGGCACAGUGGAGCAGCUCUGAAGAUGCAAAGAUACACGAAAAAACUUCCAGAACAUCUGGGAGAAUAUUUAAUGGAAAAUCGCUUGGUUAAAACCUGACACUUUUAACAGUGAGGGUCGCUGUCUGCCCAUUGAUAGAGGCCAGAUUGUCUUGGAAGUUCCAAAGUUGCAACGAUUUCUUUAGUUGAAUCCAUGGACAUGAAACCCACAGAUAUAGAGGGUUGGCCCGGUGCAGUGGCUCACGCCUGUAAUCCCAGCACUUUGGGAGGCCAAGGCGGGUGGAUCACCUGAGGUCAGAAGCUUGAGACCAGCCUGGCCAACAUGGUAAAACCCCAUCUCUACUAAUAAUACAAAACAAUUUGCUGGGCAUGGUGGUGCACGCUUGUAAUCCAAGCUACUCCAGAGGCUGAGGCAGAAGAAUCGCUUGAAUCCGAGAGGCAAAGGUUGCAGUGAGCCCAGAUCACACCACUGCUCUC